UUGUAUAACACCACAUGGGGUUACUAAUUUAGUGUCUACAUCAUGUCAUUUCCCAAUCCUUCCUCCUCUCCCAGAUUGGAUGCUUAUAGAGAAUUACUGUGGUUUAUUUAUCACUGCAUGUCUGCCUUGUUGCCUUGAUGGAUGAAGUUAGUUUCCACAGCAUGGUUCUCACCUAGACCUAGCUUCUUCCUAGCAUAACUCAUGGCUACAGAUAUUGGAUUACGGCAAGUAGUGCUCAAACAGAAAUCAGGAUCUUAGUGGACCAUAGUCACUUGACCUAAUAAUGGUCCUCAUGGGAAGGUUGCACUGUGUGCUGGAGCAUGUAGCACCAGGAUGUAACCAUCCAUUCAUCCAGCCAGCUGAAUCAACCCUAAUUGUCAGUGGAAUGACCCAUGUCAUAGCUCGACUUUCCCCUAUCCAUCAGAGUUAUUGAUGAAGUUGGCAGUGUUAACAUGUGCUUUAAAGAGCACAGUAAUAUAGAAGAACACUGACAAAAAUGGUCAAAUAGUUGAAUCAGGUGGGAAAUGCAACAUAUUUUAUCCCUCUAAAGUAGUCAUUAACAUCAUUUACCAUAUCAAAAGUUCUGAAAACUUUAUGAAGAUGUCUAUUUAAUUUGCUUAACCCAGUGUUUUCCAAACUUAUUUGACCUUUGGAACUCUCUUUUCUUAUUACACCUAUUUAUAUCCCAGGGAACUAUUGUUCCAUGUUUUGGAAAAUGCUGGGUUAAUAAAUUUCCCAGAAUUUAGGAGUAACAUCUUCAAGGGGGGUGGUUUCUAGACAAAGGGGCAUAAAAAUAAAUGCACAAGAAGAGGAUAGGUCACAGAAAGAUAUUAAAUACCAAAGAAGCAUGAUUAUUAUAAAUUUCUCCCACAUUUUCUUCAUUUUUAGGAUUCUGGUAUUUCUAAAAUCCUAAAAAAAAAAUACCCUGAAUGACUUUUUCUUUUGUUUGCACUCUUCAAAAUAUAACCACUCAUGCUCAGCUAUAUGUAACAUAUACUGAUAGUUCAGCAGAUGAUAUAGUGAGGGAAAUUCUGGCUUCGGAUUCAGAUGAUAAAUUUGAGUCCCAUCCUUUCUUAUCAGACAUAGUUUUAAUCCUGGGAAGUUAGUUUGCUUUUUCUAAUCCUCAGUUUCUUAAUCAGUAGAAUGGGGAAAAUAAUCCAUGAUCUGCCAAAGUCACAAAAACAGUGUGAGAAUCACCUGUCAACAUAUACAGUGUUUUAAAACUAUAAAGAGCUGUAUAAAAUAAGGUGUCUUAGUAUAUAUCCAUGCUUGUGGCAAAUUUAACUCACUCUAGAAUUCAUAUGUGCAAAUUAAGUGUAAUUUAUUUAUCUUUUGAUAGGCUUCAUUGUGGGCUCCCCCUCAAAUUCUCAUCAUAGCUGGCAGGAAAAGAAAACCUAAGUGAAACUAAAUGUCCAACUCAGUUUAAAUUCAUUCCAAUCCAAUUAUUUAAGCUCUAGAAAGGUGGUGCUCAGUGAAUCUGACUAAAAAAAAAAUGAUGGUUGGUAAUACUUGGGUGUCUCAGUCAGUUGAGUACCCAACUCUUGGUUUCCGCUCAGGUCAUGAUCCUCCUGGGGUCCUGAGAUAAACCCCGAGUGGGGCUCUGUGCUCAGCAGGGCAUCUGCUUGAGAUUCUCUCUCUCUCUCUCUUUCUCUCUCUCUCCCUCCCACUAUCUCUGCCUCUCCUCUUUCUCUAAAAUAAAUGAACAAAUCUUUUUUAAAAAUCCCAAACCAAUUAUGCUCCCUUUCACAAAUGCUCUCCUCUGUCCUCCCUUAGUAUAGUGUCCAGAUGCACAGUGGUUGGGGAAGGCCAUGGCCAAGAAGCCCUUGAAAAAGCAAAACAGAGCUGGGAUUGUCUGGUGUAACAUCUGCCUGCUGUUGGUCUCUAGAACAGUACAACUUGACUGCUUGGUUCCGCUUACCUUCCUAUUCCAGUGGUUCAUGCGAACCACCGCAGCUGGUUGUCUCUGGGAAGCCUGGUCUAGGCCUAGUUUCCCCGUCCUGAAUUCCCAUUGGCUGCAAACCCCCAUAUCUCUGUCAUUUUCUGUAUCCAGCCCGCUGAUUGGUCAUUCCCACCCAGCUUGAGGUGGGGUUCCCUGUCUGCUGAACCCAUUGACUAGCGUUCUACUUUGUCUUCUGCAUCUCUCUGCCUGACCACACCGUGCCCCACUGCAGAUUUCAGGGUAGCCCAACAGGUUUCUAAAAGUGCUAAGUAAUUAAUGGAAAUAGAAGGCUUUCCCUCAAUAUUACCCACAUUUAUCCAGUGCAGAUCCCACUUUUGGCUUAGAGACGGAAAUAUUGGAGCAUAUCUGCCCACUCUGUUUCUCUCUUUCUUCUUUUCAAACAAAUUCUCCAGGUUAGAGAAUGGGUUUCCUUUAGUUCUCUUGAGUUAAAGCCUCUUACCAAUGAUCAGCUACUCCUGGGCCUUUCCUAUUAUAUGCUAAGAAUGGGGUCCUCUCAGCUCUAGAGAAGUUAAAGGAGGAGAAGGAAGGCAUUUUGGGAUUUUUCUCUGAAGACAACAGCCUGGUUUACAAGCCUAUUGUCUUGCUGUAUAAAUACUACUUUGCAAAGCAGGAGAUUUAUAAUAUUUUUCCUCUUUGAUUCACAUUGCUCCGUAACACAUUUAAUCUAGUCUUGGCUCAAACAGAUGUAUAUCUUGGAUGCUUAGGACAAGGACUACCCUCACCCUUACUUAGUUGGAAACCUUAAAAUAUUUUUGAUUUAAUAUAAACGCAAAUAUGAGAAAAUGAACAGAUUCCAAAAAGAUGUUGCAAUCUGGAGAUCCCUGAUUCUCACUUCAGGGAGGGUAAUCAUUCCUCACCUAUAUAAAAAGGUUACAGUCUAUAAA
rnacentral:lncRNA from 1 species